rnacentral:misc_RNA from 1 species
GAUGAAGAACGUAGCGAAAUGCGAUAAGUAAUGUGAAUUGCAGAAUUCAGUGAAUCAUCGAGUCUUUGAACGCACAUUGCGCCCUCUGGUAUUCCGGAGGGCAUGCCUGUCCGAGCGUCAUUGCUGCCCUCAAGCACGGCUUGUGUGUUGGGCUCCGUCCCCCGAUCCCGGGGGACGGGCCCGAAAGGCAGCGGCGGCACCGCGUCCGGUCCUCGAGCGUAUGGGGCUUUGUCACCCGCUCUGUAGGCCCGGCCGGCGCUUGCCGAUCAACCAAAUUUUUAUCCAGGUUGACCUCGGAUCAGGUAGGGAUACCCGCUGAACUUAAGCAUAUCAAUAAGCGGAGGA